AACGAACGCUGGCGGCAGGCCUAACACAUGCAAGUCGAACGCUGUAGCAAUACAGAGUGGCAGACGGGUGAGUAACGCGUGGGAACAUGCCCUUCGGUUCGGAAUAACUCAGGGAAACUUGAGCUAAUACCGGAUACGCCCUUAGGGGGAAAGAUUUAUUGCCGAAGGAUUGGCCCGCGUCCGAUUAGCUAGUUGGUGAGGUAAUGGCUCACCAAGGCGACGAUCGGUAGCUGGUCUGAGAGGAUGAUCAGCCACACUGGGACUGAGACACGGCCCAGACUCCUACGGGAGGCAGCAGUGGGGAAUAUUGGACAAUGGGCGCAAGCCUGAUCCAGCCAUGCCGCGUGAGUGAUGAAGGCCCUAGGGUUGUAAAGCUCUUUCGCCAGGGACGAUAAUGACGGUACCUGGAUAAGAAGCCCCGGCUAACUUCGUGCCAGCCGCCGCGGUAACAC
rnacentral:rRNA from 1 species